UACAGAGGUCCCAAGCGUUGUUCGGAUUCACUGGGCGUAAAGGGUGCGUAGGCGGUCGGGUAAGUCUGAUGUGAAAUCUCACAGCUUAACUGUGAAACUGCAUUGGAUACUAUCCGGCUAGAGGAAUGGAGGGGAGACUGGAAUACUUGGUGUAGCAGUGAAAUGCGUAGAUAUCAGGAGGAACACCGGUGGUGAAGGCGGGUCUCUGGGCCGAUACUGACGCUGAGGAGCGAAAGCGUGGGGAGCGAACAGG
rnacentral:rRNA from 1 species